UCUCGAUAGCGUAAAAGUUAACUCCAAUUUGUAUGAAGUUGGUACGUUUGCCUACGUUUGCCGCUAGGAGCACUGUUCCACUGCAUACAAAUUUGAGUUAACUUUUACGCUAUCGA
rnacentral:pre_miRNA from 9 species